CUUUUGAAUUUUUAUUAUUUAUUUUUAUAGCUAGUCUCAAUGUAUUUUAAUGGGUUUUUAAGAUCAUUUCUAUCUGGGUUUAUGUCUAUAUAAAACAUCUUAUUUUAUGUUUUACGUUUUAUGCUGUCCAAAGAUUUGUUUCUGUUUUCUUUUUAAAUGUUAUGUACUGUUCAAAGGUCUUUAGGUUGGGAAUUUGAUAGUCAUGGAUGGUUGGCUGAAGGGAUCUAAUAGUUUUGUGGAUAGGGUAGGACUAAAUGACGGUACGGUCUUAGCUUUAUCCGGUCGGGAUUUCGAUAACCGGUUUAAGAAUGAGAAAUGUGUCGAUAUUCCUUCUUCGGAACCUGUUAUGAUUCCGGGAAAUUCAGGGAACGUAGUGUCUUCCUUGGGAACUUGUUCUGAUAGAGUUGGACUAAAUGAUGGUACAGUGUUGGCCUUAUCCGGUCGGGAUUUUGCUAGCCAGUUUAAGAAUGAGAAUUAUGUUGAUGUUCUUCCUUUGGAACAUGUUAUGGUUCCGGGAAAUUUAGUGCCUUCCUUUGGAACCUGUUCUGAUAUAGUUGGACUAAAUGUUGAUAACCAACCUGUUCCGAUUCCGGGAAAUUCAGUGCCUUCCUCGAGUGUGAACGAGGGAGAUUUGCAUGAGGAUUUUGACUUUAGCGAUGAAGUUCUUAAGUACAUAAGUCAGAUGCUUAUGGAAGAAGAUAUGGAAGAUAAGACUUGUAUGUUUAAAGAGUCAUCGGCAGCACUUCAGGCUGCCGAGAAAGCGUUUUAUGAGGUUCUCGGAGAGAGGUAUCCACCUUCUCCUGAAUAUGAUGGUGAUCAAAACCAAGAAAGCUCCGAUGAAAGUCAUGGUCAAAAUUGUUGGGGAUGUAGUAGUGCAAGCAUUAGUAGUGGUAGCGUAGUUGAUCCUGGUCACAAUCACGAUUUCAGUGAGCAAAGGGCUCUGAACUUCCCAUCCCAGGCUAGUUCAUCUCAUAGCUCGGGAAACAGUACUGGUAGUGUGGUAGAUGGAUAUGCAGAUUCUCCGGUAAGUACUGUUAGGCUUCUGGAAAUAUUUAACAAUAGUGAGUCUGCCAUACAAUUUAGAAAAGGCUUCGAGGAAGCGAGUAAGUUCCUCCCGAAUGGUGGAAGCUUGUUUGUUCACGGGGAGAAUGACGGAUUGUUUCUCAAAGAGCUAAAGGAAGAGACUAAAGAUGUGGCAGUAGAUAAGGUGGAUAAGGAUGAGAUUUCCCGGGAUGGAUCAAGGGGAAAGAAAAAACCUUAUCCUGAGGAUCUGAGUCUAGAGUGUGGGAGGAGUACCAAGCAAUCUUUAGUUUAUACUGAGUCUGCUGUAAGCCCUGAAAUGUUUGAUAUGGUGCUACUAAAUUGUCAAAGUGUAACCGAGCUUCAAAAAGUUUUGCAAGAUGAAACGAGCAAGAAUGUGCAACAGAACGGACAAUUGAAAGGGUCUAAUGGUGGAAAGGCACGUGGGAAGAAACAUGGUGGUAAAAGGAACAUGGUGGAUUUGAGAACUCUCUUAACCCUUUGUGCACAAGCCGUUGCAGCUGAUGAUCGGAGGAGUGCUAAUGAGCUAAUCAAGCAAAUCAGGCAGCAUUCUUCACCUAUGGGUGAUGGGAUGCAGAGGAUAGCUCACUAUUUCAUUGAUGGCCUAGAGGCACGCUUAGCUGGUUCCGGGACCCAAAUUUACACUGCGCUUAUCACAAAGCCGACUUCAGCCGCUGAUGUGUUGAAAGCCCACCAUCUGUUUCUUGCUGCUUGUCCUUUUAAGAAGCUCUCAAAUUUCUUCUCAAAUAAGACUAUAAUGAAUCUAGCUGAAGAUGCUGCUAGGCUUCAUAUUAUUGAUUUUGGUAUUCUAUAUGGUUUCCAAUGGCCUUGCCUUAUACGACGUCUCUCGUCUAGACCUGGUGGACCGCCUAAGUUAAGGAUUACAGGGAUUGAUCUUCCACAACCGGGUUUUCGGCCAGCAGAAAGGGUGGAAGAGACAGGGCGCCGUCUUGCAAACUAUGCUGAAACAUUCAAAGUUCCGUUUGAGUUCCAUGCUAUUGCUCAGAAGUGGGACACCAUUCAAAUUGAGGACCUCGGGAUUGAUCGUGAUGAAGUACUUGUUGUGAACUGUAUGUACAGGCUUAGAAAUCUACUAGAUGAGACCGUGAUUGUGGAGAGUCCAAGGAAUAAGGUUCUUAACUUGAUCAGGAAGAUGAAUCCUGAUGUUUUCAUACUGGGGAUUGUGAAUGGUGCUUAUAGUGCUCCGUUCUUUAUCACGAGAUUUAGAGAGGCUCUCUUCCACUUUUCUACUUUAUUUGAUAUGCUCGAGACUAACGUCCCUCGUGAAAUUCCAGAACGGAUGCUGAUUGAAAGAGAGAUAUUUGGAUGGGAGGCAAUGAAUGUCAUUGCAUGCGAGGGUGCUGAAAGGAUUGAGAGGCCCGAGACUUACAAGCAGUGGCAGAUGAGGAACACAAGGGCUGGUCUCAGACAGUUGCCUCUGAAUAAGGAGAUUAUGCAGAUAGCAAAGGAGAGGGUAGAUACAGGAUACCAUAAGGACUUUGUAAUCGAUGAGGAUAAUCGCUGGCUGCUCCAAGGAUGGAAAGGACGAAUUGUUUAUGCACUCUCGACUUGGGUUCCUGCCCCUUAGAAGGUAAAGUCUUGUGAAGUCCUUUACUGUCGGAUUGCAGCCAUUGAUGGAUUCCACAUAUAUGGAGACAAGGUUACAUAAAUAAGAAACCAGAGGCUGCUUACUGGUUACAUAAAUAAGAAACCAGGGGCUGCUUACUGGUAUUUAUCGAAAAGGUGAAUCCAUCAUGUACCGAAUUGCUAACAUGUACCAGAGAAUAAUAGCCGGUGGUAAGAUGUAUUAGAUCGAAGCUAGCGGUUUAGGUGAAUGUUAAGUAGGUCCGACCUUCUUGAGUUUCUUGUUGUAUUGGCCAGACGAGGUAAUGUUAAGUAGGUCUGACCAUCUGAGUUUCAAAUCCCGACAUCAUUAUCCUCUUAUUCUCAUAUUCAAAUGCAAUGAAGUUCAUUAAUGUAUUUUCUUUUAAA